UGACCUAUUGCUAUCCAUUUUCGUCCGUCGUCGUGCGUCGUGCAUUAACAAUUUUACAUUUUUAAUGUAAAAUUGCUAACAUUGUUAAUUUUAUUAAUUUUGAAAGAUUUUAGGCAAGGAGGUGGUCGUCAUUACAAAUUUAUAUUUCUUUUUACUCCAGAAUGAAACCUAAUUAAAUGAAUAUAUGAGACUCCUCGACAAGUUUGUGUAUGGGUUAUACAUGUAUGCUACUCAGGUGACCGUUAAGGCCUAUUGGCCUCUUGUUUGUUGCAGCUGACUAGAAAAAAAUACACACAUUUUUUUAUUUUAUUUCAAAUUGGGGAAUGAGUGUAUAGUGCGUAGUAUUUCUUUUCUAAAUUUUGUUCUUUAGCUCAAAUCUCAAUAUAACCCGCGUUCUUGGUUACCCCGUUAUGGAAAGUUGUAUCCAUCAAAACUAUUAAAAAUCCCACUAAAUAUAUUCACUCUUUACGGAAUCAUUCAAUAUUAUUCCAUUGAUCACCUCAUAACACUCAAAGAAUGAUUCCUAAUCCCUUAAAAAUAUUUAUUUCAACUUUGCAUGUAAUUUUUAUAUGUAAUUUAUGAAGUUGUAUAAUUAUGUGAAUAAAAAAAGGCUUUUUACAAUGUAAUACACUUAUUUUACACAU
rnacentral:sRNA from 1 species